UUUCUUGAGAGAGUCUCACUCUGUCACCCAAGCUAAACUGUAGUGGCGUGAUCUCAGCUCACUGCAACCUCCGCCUCCUGGGCUCAGGUGAUCCUCCCACACUAGUCUCUUUUUUAUUAUUUUGAGAUGGAGUUUCACUCUGUUGCAUAGGCUGGAGUGCAGUGGGGCGAUCUCGGCUCACUGACACCUCCACCUCCCAGGUUCAAGUGAUUCUCCUAACUCAGCCUCCCAAGUAGCUGGGAUUACAGGUGCAAGCCACCACACCCAGCUAAUUUUUGUAUUUUUGUAGAGAUGGGGUUUCACCAUGUUGACCAGUCUGGUCUUGAAAUCCUGACCUCAAGUAAUCCACUUGCCUCAGCCUCCCAAAGUGCUGGGUUUACAGGCAUGAGCCACCGCAUCUGACUUUUCUUUUCUCUUGAGACAAAGUCUUGCUCUGUUGCCCAGGCUGCGGACAGUGGCAUGAUCACAGCUCACUGCAGCCUCAACCUCCUAGACUCGAGCAAUUUUCUCACUUCAGCCUCCUGAGUUGCUGGGACCACAGGUGCACGCACCACCCCCUGGCUUUUAUUUUUUAUUUUUUUUAUUUUUUGGCAGAGACAGUGUCGCCUUAUGUUGCCCAGGCUGAACACCUGUGUCUCUUAACCUAAGAGCUGUCUCCAGCACAGGAUGCAAGACAGCCCCAAAAAAGUGUUAGGGACUUAAAGCCACCAGAAGCUAUUCUUAACCAAUGGAAUACAGGAGUCAAUGGGAACAUCCUGUCCAGAGGAAAGGAUAUUUAAGGAGAAAGGAAGCAGCACAAGUUCGACUCAGCCAAGAAACAGAGGAAGGACAUCCCAAGCACGAAGUGGGGCACCGGUCUGUGUUCCAGCGAGAGGGUCUUGCUGUGUCUCCCAGGAUGGAGUGCAGUGGCACGAUCAUAGCUCACCACAGCCUCCACCUCCUGGGCUCAAAUGAUCCUCCCACCUCAGCCUCCCAAGCAGCUAGGACUACAAGUGCACACCGCCACCACCUCCAGAUAAAAGGGAGAGACACAACUGGCUCCAGCCCUUUUCCUGCCUCUUCCUGCUUUGAAUACUCACAUGAUACCUGGAGCUGCAGCAGCCAUCUUGUUUACCAAGAAGAAAAGCCAAGAUGAUCACAGAAUAGCCAGCACUGGUAUUGUUCCACCAGCGACAGCAGAUACUUACCUCCAGAUUUUUGGGGAAAAAAAAUGAGCUGGAGUGACUCUCUUGGUCCCUAAGGUGGAAGCCAUGUGUUGAGGACACUGAGCAACAAGAUAGGAGGAGCCUGGGGCCCAGCCAGAGAACAGGAAGCCACCCAAAUAGCUCUCAACCCCUUAUAGAUGGACUACUAAAUGGGAAAUAAAGUAGACUGUUCUCUCUU